GCCACAAUUAGGAGACAACACGAGAAACAUCAUCACUUUUGAGAACAUUAUGCUUGAUUUCUUGUACAUCAAGAAUCCAGUGUCUAUACAUUGUCUAAAUCUACAGAGGCCUGCAAGUGAGUGGGCACAAUGAUGAGCUUCUGAGAAGUUCUGAUUUCAUUUGACUCUCACAAUUACUUCCUUUACUGCAAACCAAUCAACACUGAGAGAUGGAAACUGCAGUUGAGAAAAGAGACCAAGACUUAAAAUAGACUGUCCCGGUGUUGGUACAGAAGAAAAGAGAAACCGAGAUGAGUAAAGAAGAUUUUACAAUGCCAGAAAUUUCAGCAGACAACAAAUCAUCUGACUUUAAAGACACUGAGGAUUUAUAUGAAGAUAUGACUGGAUACCAUAAGAAAACUUCGACUCCAGGAGAAACAACUAGAAGUGUUCAGCAAAUGGCUGAAGAAGAAUCUUUACGAAAGAUGAUACAGCAUGUGGGCAAUACUAAUCCAGAGGAAUCUGUAUGAUCUACCUUGAGAUCACACUUCAUGCAGUGCAGAUACUGUAAAUACACCUGGCCAACGUGUAUCAUUGUUGUGUCUUUACCCUGAGUGUGUCUGCACUUUCAAUACACCAGCUUCCAUCUCUGCUUGGGUUGCAAAUCUCUUGGAUGAGACUGAUCUUUCUACGCCGUCUCCUACUGCUGAUCUUCUCACUGAGGUCAUUACUCAUUAUCUCCAGGACAUGGAGAGUCGUGGUCGGCCCAGUGACAACUCUGCUGCUGGGGGAAUCAAUGUUUCAACCCAGACUGCUACAGUGGCCACCAAGUCUACCCAGACUCCUUCAGCCUCAUCCACAAACACACAAGCUACUCAAACUACGUGGCGUGUUAACAAAAAGACUCAAUAUCCCCCUCCUUUUGCUGUCAAACCAUUUUAUAUUAAGAAGUGACUCUUUUUCCUUUUGAUUUUGUAUCUCCUUAUUAAAACCUUUAUACUCAA